rnacentral:rRNA from 1 species
GACGAACCGUGCGAACGUUGUUCGGAAUCACUGGGCUUAAAGGGCGCGUAGGCGGCAGAUCAAGUCCGGGGUGAAAGCCCCCAGCUUAACUGGGGAAGUGCCUUGGAAACUGAUGUGCUUGAGGGAGGUAGGGGUCGAGGGAACUUCUGGUGGAGCGGUGAAAUGCGUUGAUAUCAGAAGGAACGCCGGUGGCGAAAGCGGCGAUCUGGGUCGAUACUGACGCUGAGGUGCGAAAGCGUGGGGAGCAAACAGG